rnacentral:rRNA from 1 species
GACGAACGCUGGCGGCGUGCUUAACACAUGCAAGUCGAGCGAUGAAGUUUCUUCGGAAAUGGAUUAGCGGCGAACGGGUGAGGAACACGUGAAGAAUCUGCCCUCCACUUUGGGAUAACACCGGGAAACCGGUGCUAAUACCGAAUAUUGAAACAUAAGUGGCAUCACUGAGUUUUGAAAGAAUUUCGGUGGAGGAUGACUUCGCGGCCUAUCAGCUAGUUGGUGAGGUAAUGGCUCACCAAGGCAACGACGGGUAGCCGGCCUGAGAGGGCGACCGGCCACACUGGGACUGAGACACGGCCCAGACUCCUACGGGAGGCAGCAGUGGGGAAUAUUGGGCAAUGGAGGAAACUCUGACCCAGCGACGCCGCGUGCGGGAUGAAGGCCUUCGGGUUGUAAACCGCUUUCAGUAGGGAAGAAGCGAAAGUGACGGUACCUACAAAAGAAGCACCGGCUAACUAUGUG